rnacentral:rRNA from 1 species
GACGAACGCUGGCGGCGUGCUUAACACAUGCAAGUCGAACGGAAAGGCCCUGCUGUUGUGGGGUGCUCGAGUGGCGAACGGGUGAGUAACACGAGAGUAACCUGCCCUUGAGUUAGGGAUAACUUAAGGAAACUGGGGCUAAUACCGGAUAGGCGCUCCUGCUGCAUGGUGGGGGUUGGAAAGUUUCGGCGGUUGGGGAUGGACUCGCGGCUUAUCAGCUUGUUGGUGGGGUCGUGGCUUACCAAGGCUUUGACGGGUAGCCGGCCUGAGAGGGUGACCGGCCACAUUGGGACUGAGAUACGGCCCAGACUCCUACGGGAGGCAGCAGUGGGGAAUAUUGCACAAUGGGCGGAAGCCUGAUGCAGCAACGCCGCGUGCGGGAUGACGGCCUUCGGGUUGUAAACCGCUUUCGCCUGUGACGAAGCGUGAGUGACGGUAAUGGGUAAAGAAGCACCGGCUAACUACGUG